GUCUAAGGCCAUGCCACCCUGAACAAGCCCAAUCCCGUCUGAUCUCGGAAGCUAAGCAGGGUGGGGUCUGGUUAGUACCUGGAUGGGAGACCACCUAGGCAGACCAGGUGCUGUAGGUA
rnacentral:rRNA from 1 species